CUAAAUUCUGUAAUAAUUCAUUCUUUGAUUGAUAAACUGUGGAAUUUAUCUCUCCCGUCAGCAGCUGCAGAAAAAUGAAGCUUUGACAGUCUGACUGAUCAAAUUACACACAUUUAUGGCUUAAUACCUUUUCUACAUGAUGCAGGCCCUUGGUUUCAAUACACAUUGCCUUAUCACACUAAUAAAAGGUGAGAUUCCAAUAAGUAUGACGACGCCACCAGAAGAAUUUUAAAAGUAUUGUGCAAUGCAAAGUAUGCUUAGAGACACCUCUCAAGAACCAGUUCUUUAAUUAUAAGUGGAAUGACUGACUGGCAACCAUGGGAAGAGUCAAAUUGACUAGAAGUUUCCCUUUGCAUGAGUCAUUUUGCUAAAGAGAGCAGAAAGCU